rnacentral:rRNA from 1 species
AUUGAACGCUGGCGGCGUGCCUAACACAUGCAAGUCGAGCGGUAACAGGUGUGGCAAUACAUGCUGACGAGCGGCGAACGGGUGAGUAAUGCUUCGGAAUCUACCCAAUGGUGGGGAAUAACCAGCCGAAAGGUUGGCCAAUACCGCAUACGUCCCACGGGAGAAAGCAGGGGAUCGCAAGACCUUGCGCCAAUGGAUGAGCCGAAGUCGGAUUAGCUAGUUGGAGGGUAACGGCCUACCAAGGCGACGAUCCGUAGCUGGUCUGAGAGGACGACCAGCCACACUGGGACUGAGACACGGCCCAGACUCCUACGGGAGGCAGCAGUGGGGAAUAUUGGACAAUGGGGGAAACCCUGAUCCAGCGACGCCGCGUGUGUGAAGAAGGCCUGCGGGUUGUAAAGCACUUUUUAGUGGGGAUGAAAUGUUCAGGGUUAACACCUCUGGAUUUUGACCUAACCCACAGAAAAGCACCGGCUAACUCUGUGCCAGCA